rfam:Populus trichocarpa scaffold_2_contig_20, whole genome shotgun sequence.
GUUGAGGGGAUUGCUGUCUGGUUCGAUGUCAUUCAUGUGAAGCUUUAACAUUAAUGUAGUAUUGAGUGAUUUCGGACCAGGCUUCAUUCCCCCCAAC